rnacentral:lncRNA from 7 species
GUGCAGUCCUUGUGUACUGCUGGUAUAACCCUCUCUGCAUCCUAGGUUUGCCUGUCCCAGAACCCUUCUCCCCAUGGACUAGAUACGCUCACUUCCCCAUGGACUAGAUACGCUCACUGACACACCCCUUUCCCUUGCUUACAUAUUCUGUAAUUUGGGGCUAGUUAUUUUGGAGCUCCUCACUGCCCUUAAAUUCCAGCCAAGACUCUUUGCAUAUGCGAGGUGUUCCUGAUGUUCUUAAGUCUACACAGCUUCCUCCCUAGCCACCAAAAUUUGGUCUGUACAGAGGCUGGGCACACCAUCAACUGUUGUUGUGGUGACCACUCCGGUCAGUUUGCCGCCUUGCCGUGGCCGGAGCGAUUCAAGAAGGGUCGUGCCGUCGUGAUCUAGCACUGCGGACAGCCUCCACGCUGGCCGAGCAACUCGCGCUUUCUCCAGCUGUUAGACAACAGCCGGUAAUCAGGAGUGUUCUAGGUGUCUCUGUGGCUGGAAGAUGCUUCUAGUCUUGAAGGAGGAUUAGUUAGGUUUAGGUGUGAGCUUUGGAAGGGUUCUACCUUCCUAGUUUUGUAUGUAAGUUAUGCACUUUGAGUAUAUUAGGACUUGUAAUAAAUGUAACUCUUCCUAUGUAAUAACCUUCAUUUUUAGAAAUGAUAAGAAUAUUUU